CUACCAAGUGAAACUAAGAGAGAAACAUACCAAGCAACAUAGCCAGUAAUCAUGGAACACCAACUCUAUCAGUCAUUUCAUCGAACACAUGUUCGCAACACAAAAGUUCCCCAUUAAAAAUGACAAAAAAAGAAAAGAAAAAGUUUCAAUGCAUGAGCAACACGAAUUAGAUAGCUCGGAAAACUAUCCAUCACCCAUCCCAAUGCCUCGUCAAAGGGUGUUUAGGAAGGAGAUAUUUCAGCAUCACAAAAAAGAUAAGCAAUUCAGUUGCUAAAUGGUUUAAUGGGUGCACUUGGAAACAAUUAUAUGUACAAUAUAUAUGACAAUAAAUUGAUUAACAGGCAGAGAGAGUACUUCUUGUUCUCAAAGGUAAGACAUCCACAUAAACUACAUCAGCCGCCAAAUUACACAAGCCCUCUGUUUAUUGGUCAUAGAAAGAGGUGAAAGACUGCACUCAACUCUACCAAGGGACACUAAGAGAGAAUCUUACCAAGCAACAUAGCCAGUACUCUAUCAGUCAUUUCGUCGAACACGUGCCUUGUGUUGCAAGCUGAAUACACUCUUAAAAAGGGUUUCCCUACAUAAAGAUCUGAAUCGAAACAGACCCAUCUCUCUCUCUCUCUCCCUACUCUCCUCCCCCUCCUCCAGCAAUUGAAAGUUUGAAACCCUAAUCGCCAACUAUCUCUCUCUCUCUUCUUCCAGCAGCAAUUGGAACCCCAAUCUCUCCUUCAUCUUUCAGCAGCAAUAGGAACCCUAAUCGCUAACAUACUCUCUCUCCUUCUUCAUCCUUUCUUCUCCCAGCAGCAAUUGGAACCCUAAUCUCUCUCCCUCUCCUUUCGGCAGCAAUUGAACCACUAAAUGCCGAACCUCUCUCGCGAACCUCUCUCUGUUUGAGAAAAAUCGUGAAAUCGAUGGUAUUUAUAGGGAAAGGUACCGUUAAUUUAUAGGCCCAUCCAGCCCAUUCAGUAAUCAAAUUGGAUCUUCCUAAUACCAUCUCAUUAAUUUUGAAGGAAUUAAUCCUUUGUUUGGUUAAUUAAUUGGGAUUUUGACAAUUACCCCCCUGAAAUUGUCUACCACUUUUUGGAGUCAGUUUUAUCGUUUUUUUAUUUUUUUUUGUUUCAUUCACAUCAAAUGUCCUUUUUUUUUUUCGAUAAUUCAGUUUAAAUUCUAUAUUUUUAUGAUUUUUCUUAACGAGGAGAGUUCGAAAAUAUAAAUUUUUUGAUAAAACAAAAAAAAAAUUCACUAAAAACAAAAAAAUUCAAAAAUUAAAUAAACCAUGACCCCAAGUUAAAAGGAGGUUCAUAAGUGCAAUCAACUAUUAAAAGGUGGUUCAUAAGCUUGAGGGAGAUGUAAACGGGAUUUAGUCUACGGGGCAUAUUGCUCCAAUUGGCCUUUUAGGUGGCUGGUUCCACUUUUAAACAUCUUCAGGGGUAAAUUGUCAAAAUCCCAAAUUAAUUUUCAGAAUACUUUUUCAAAAAUUAUUUUUGAGAACGAAAAAUAUUUUUUUGAAAUAUGUUAUUGUGGGGUUGUUGUUUAUAGGAUGAGAGGUGAUGAAUCAAGAUAUACAAACCCGUUAGGCAGUUCUACUUCGCGUAUAUAGCUUUAAUUAACCCUCCUCCAGUUACUCAGCGAUGCUCUAUCUGCAAGCACAGGAACAGAGAGACUGGCCUCCGGAGUUAUUUUCGAGAAACGACCCUCCAACAGUGAAGUUAGAUGUCCAAAAUGUUAGAGAGGGAAAGUGUACGUAUGCUCAAGUGAUCAGUUUGCACGUGAUCUUUGUGAAAAUAACAGUGUUCCCUUUUAUACUCUAGCUCAGUGCGUGGCUCGACGCGGUAGCUAUCUUACCACUCAUCAGGCUGUAUCGAUUGUCGUGUCAGUGACUAGGCAGCUGACCCAGCCCUUCCCCCUCGGCGUGCUAGUAGCUCAUUUAUCAUUGCCGACGUCUCCAUCCGAGCAUAAGGGCUAUCGAAGGUACUUUGACGUGUCAAGUCACCUUCUGUCCCUUGAUCCUUGGAGAAUAACACCGCCAGCCCGUUACCGUUUUUUAAUACCUACCUUACCCGCCUCUUCAAGCUUCCAAUGUAGUGUGAUUGUUCCGAGCUCGCUGAGUAGCUGCACCUCGGAUGUAACGAAGGCCUUAGCCCUGACGGUAUUUAUCUUUGGUAGUGAUUGCUCUGAGUUUUAGCGCAGAGGAUCUCCGAGCUCGCUUUGUAGCGACAGCUUCAUAGGGACCUCUGUCCUAGCAAGGCUAGUGUUGAAUAGUGUGCGCACCGAGAUCUGGCGUAGGGAACCACCGAGCUUUCCUUAUAGCGAUAGCCCGACGAAGUUCCUUCCCUAGGAAGGCCAGAUUAUGUCAUUGUAUAAUUUGUCCCCUUACAAUUAUAAUCACUAUAAUGAAUCUCCAAAUAAGAUUGUCUCAAUCACAGCCGUUGGCAUGCCAGAAGCACGCUUUCUUUCCUACUGUCUACUUUUUUACAUAAAUGUUUUAACAUAAUCUACUACUCUGGAACCCAUCCGUUGCAAUACAUGGAAUGGGAUGGGGUAUGCCGUAUCUUGUGGAAUGUUAUAAUAUGGUAAACUUCUAUAGAUCACUUAAUCAUAACAAAUACAUUUAUUCAGAACAUGAAAUGGUUUUUGAGUUCGUCUAAUAUACUUGCACAUAUAUGAUUGAGGGCUUUGUUUUUAACUUUUUAUUUUUUGUUUUUUUGUUGUUGAUUUUUAUUUUUUAAAAUAAACGUAAAACAAAACUGUUUGUUUUGCAAAAAAUACAUUAAAAUAAGUUAAAUACGUUCACUAUUUUUGAAAACGUGAAAAUAAGAAAAAAUUAUUUUUGUUUUGUUUACAAAACUUUUCAUUCAAAAUUUUUUUAUAUCCAAAUUUUCAACCCCCACCACUGUAAAAUCCCAAACUUUUAGAUAUUUCAUUUCUCUAAGUAAUAUGAUAUGCAUGACAUAUGAACAAUAAUAUGUUAAUUACAAUUUUUUAUACGAUUAAGAUUAUUUUGGUGUUAAAUUAAAAGAUUUAUAAUUUUUGGGAUCAAAUUAAAGAGAUUAUAAAAGUUGAUGGACAAAAGUGUAUUUGCAUUGGUGGGAGACAACUUGCCGAAAGAGAAGGACAAUAGGAAAAAAAAAAAAAAGGAGAGAGAGAUUUUGUCCUCCGAAAGUGGAAAAGAAGAAAAUAAAAUAAAAUAAAAUCAUAAUGAAAUAAUAAUAGAUAAUAAAAUAUAGUAAUAUUUUAUUUAUAUAUCUAUAUGUGAUUGAGUGGUGAGAAGGAGAGUAUAAUGAGAAUAGAGAGACCGAAUAGAAAAAAGGAGAAGAGGAAGUUUCUAAGAGAGAAGAAAAAAAAAAAAAAAGAAGAAUAGAGAAAUUAUUGAGGUAAUUCCCUGAUUUUUUUUCUCUACGACUUCUUUGCUAAAUUUCUGAUAUGUUGAAUAUUAUUUUUACUCAUUUUAGUGUAAAAUAAUCUGUUAAGAUAUUCCCCAAAAUGUUUAUUAUUUGAAUCUUUUUCGGAUCAAAUUCGUAUGGAUGAAAUAAAAUUUUUUUUUCACCGACCAGUAUUAGUAUUUUAGUCAUAACUUCCUCAUAUGAUAUCCGUUUUGAUUUGAUUCAAGUUUCAUAUGAAAGAUACUUUAAAUACUACAAGUUUUCGUGAAAUACAAUUUUUUUUUCCAAUUUUUAAGUUUAAAGGGUCGAAAGCAACUUGGAAUACGAAUAAAGAAAAAUUAAAGUGUAUGUUUUAUUCCGAACCACUGUCAGUAUUUUACCCAUACCUUCUUCAUAUGACAACAUUUUUAGUUGAUUCAAGUUUCUGAGAAUGAUAUUUUAAAUAUCCUACAAGUUUAUGUGAAAUACGAAUUUUCAAUUCGAAGUUUUAAAUGACCAAACAAGACUUGAAAGUACGAGUAGAAAAAUUAAGCUAUGUUAUGUUUCAUUUUGAACCCAACUGUCGGUAUUUGAGCCAAACUGCCUUCAUACGAAAACAUUUUUAUUGAUGCAGUUCUGAGAAUAGCUAUUUUAAAUACCUACAAGUUUAUGUGAAAUAGUAUUUUUCAAUUUUCCAGUUUAAAUAGCCUCAAACAGGCUUGCGAUUCCGAAGCAAAAAAACUGAAUUUUUUUUUUUAGUUUUUUUGUCCCCUGCGAGUUGAUUUUUUUAAACCAAUUUACGUUUUAAAAAUAAUAAUAAUAAUACUUUUGAGAAAUAAACAAAAUUCUAUAGUUAGACUAAUAUUGAAAAAAAAUUUAAAAUUAAUUAUAAAUAUUAAGUGAAGAUAUUAAUUAUAAUUAUUCAACAAAUGAAAUGUUUAUAGGAUCGAUCGUUUAGCCUAGUAAUACAACGAACGAUAGCUGUAAUACAAUUUCCAAACAAGCCAUUAAGUAACCUUACUCUCUAAGGUAGUGUAAGUAACCCAAUCUCUAAAGUAGAAUAAUUACUUUUUGAUGCUAUUAUAUAGCAUGACAAUUUAUGUUAUGCUUGCCAAAUUAAUCCAUGGAAUAGAUGAAAAUGUUUGAAAAAGAUUUUUUGUAUUUAUAUGCCUAUGUACCAUCAUGUUUCUACCUUUCGGGAAUUUACUGACUCGGCCGGCAUACCCAGACUCAAGGGGGUGUGGAAAUCACGUUAUCAACCCGACUAAGGACGGAGGUCAUAGUUCAUAAUGUAUGUUUUAAAGAUUAUGUUGACUCGGAUAUAGUCAAAAUACAAGUACAAAGCAUGAAUUUUGAACAAGUUAGUGCUAAAGAUUAAAUGUUUUUUAUCUUUCUUCACGCUAUGUAUGUUCAUAUGGCCAUCUCCCAUGGUAUUUAUAUUUGGAUAUGUAUGAAUAAAACCUAUGUUAUAGAUUAUGGUUAUACGCGAUAGCAAUGUGGUAGGAAUAUUGUUUUUGACAAUAUUUCAGGUGAUAAAGGAAAGCAAGUGGAGUAAAUAUAAGAACCAGUUAUUUAAUAAAGAACAAUGAUUUAUGUGGUUAGUUUUCGACUAGAAGUCCGAUAAGCUUUUGAAUAUGUAAUGGUAUUGAAUUAUUAAUGAAUGUUAAUACAGGUUACAGUCUCUCUACCGUCAUGAGCAAUGUAUUGCAAAUGAAUGAAUUUAAUAUUGAGUUUUAUUACUCCAAAAUAAAUUUUAUAGGGGAUUGUUUCGCUUCCGCACUGAAAAGGUUUUUAAACAAAAGAAACAAAAAGUUUAAAGAAAAAUUUUUACGAAUGAAAAAAUCAAAGUAACGACGCUCGAUGCCGCGUGGACCAAGUGGCGUCGGGCGCGGUCGUUUCAGAAUAGUAUCAGAGCCCAGGUUCAGAGACUUGACUAUUCUAAUGCAUGAUGAAUUAUGUGUAAAGAUGAUAUAUGCUAUUACACUAUUACUUAUUACUCUCGCGGUGCUAGUAAAAAUAUGAAUAACGGCUUAAUUCAAUAAUGCACUCCUUAUCAAUUUUGUCUCAGUUGAGUCUGUAUGUGAUUUUAGACUCAUGGCAACAAGAGGGCGAGCAUGACGUAGGGGAAGGGGAGGGCGCAACCCUGACCCUAAUAGAAUUGAGAGAGCCUUGGAAGGCUUAGUCAAUGCUUGGAGCACCAUAAUUCCUAACCCCAGGGGAUCCCAACGAUCCAACAAUUCCGUGACUUAAUGCCCCCGACGUUUGAGGGCCGACUGAUCCCGAAGUGGCCAUGCGUUGGCUACCAGAGUCAAAAGGCUUACACCGUUUUUUUUCCAUGCACUAUGCAUGCAACAGAAGGUUAGGCUUCGCCGCCUACAUGUUUGUGGGUGAGGCGCAUGAAUGGUGGCUACUUACUUCGGAUAGGGAGCCCACAUGACUUGGGAGAAGUUUCAAGCGUUUUUUCGAUGAUAAUAUUUUCCACAAGCACUGAAGUCAAAGAAACUCAAGGAGUUAAAGUCACUUAAAGCAAGGAAAUAUGACAGUGAUGGCUUAUGAGGCCCAUUCAUUCCGGAAUUGGCACGAUAUGCCCCGUUAUGGUAGACAUCCGAGGAAAAGAAAGCAGAAAAUUUGAGAUGUUUGAGAGGAAACAUCAAGAGUCCGAUUGGAUUUCCCGAUUGCCUACGGAUGCAGUAUUGACUGUGCACUCUCAUAGCUGAAAGAAGUAACGAAGAAUAUGAUCACAGACGAGACAAUAAGAGAAGGGAGAGGUAUCCAAGUGACCCGGAGGUCAAAUGUCAUCAAUCCACGACGUCAAAAAACACACGGGAGGCAAUAGGGCAGAGUAACUCAUCGUCUUCAGGUAACUAUCCACCACAGUGUUUCUAAGUGUGGAAAGUUUUUCACAAAGGGACUAAUUUGUUAUGGGCGGGGGACGGGAGCUUGUUUCAAUUGUGGCCAACAAGGCCAUAUGAAUCAAGGACUGCCCAAAUCUAAUCAGUCACGUGGCUAUGGUCCUUUUCCACCUCCACACCAUCCCCACCUGUCAACAUACUCAUCUUCUACUGCUGGAAGGGGUCAACUCAACAAGGAAGAGUUUUGCACUUGUACCUAGAGACGUACAGCUCCACAUCUGGGUCUCAGGUAUAACCAUCCAUCGAUUCAUAUCCUGCUCAUGUAUUGAUAGCUUCGGUUCUACUCACUUCCUUUGUCGCUCCUCAUUUGCCACUAAAUGUCUACCCUCCCCAACCUUUGACUUUCACCUGUGCAUGUUUCAACCCCAUCUGAACUCCAUGAUAGGUUCACAUAUCUUUUCAGGAUUGUGAAAUUCAAGUACCAUGAUGUUUCGUCUGUAAACCUAAAAUUUCCCUUAGACAUCCAGCACUUUGAUGUUUUAUUUUGGGAUGGAUUGGUUAGCUUCAUUGAUGCCAACCAUCGAUUGUGUGCACCAAGAAAGUGAAUUUUCAAUUCCUAUGCAACCAAGCUAACUUUGAGGGAGAAGGUGUUUGCCCACCCACCUUACCUCAUCUCGUAUCUUCAUGCAACGUCGUUGCUUAGAGGGAAUGCCCACGUGUUACUUUGCAUCCCAUUCAUAAAUUGCCCACUAAGAGAUCAACGCCAUCUGAAUCCCAUGUUGUGAGGAAUUUAUGGCGUAUGCCAUAUGAUCUUGUCGAGUUGCUCUGAUAGAGAUUUGGGAAUUCACCAUUGAUUAGUUCGCCGGGUAACCCCUUCAUUUCGCAGGCAAUCACCAUACGAAUGGCACCUGUUGAAUUGAAAGAGUUAAAGCUUCAGCUUCAAGAGUUGUUGAUAAAGGGUUUUUAUCCGACCGAGUACCUCACCUUGGGGUGCUCCAUUUUGUUUGUAAAAAGAAAGACCUCCAUGAGAUUUUCAGCGACUAUAGAGAUUGAAUGAGUUCCCAUAUAAGAACAAGUAUCCUUUACCCCGGAUCGACGAUCUAGUUGACACUUCAAGGUGCACAAGUAUUUUUCCCAAGAUAGAUCUUCGUCAGGUAUCACCAACUGAGGAUAAGCCAGAGGAUAUACCAAAUAGCGCAUUCGUACACGCUAUGGACCCUACGAAUUCUUAGUAAACCCGCCAUUGAUUUUCACCAAUGCUCCUGCAGCUUUUCAAUGAUUUAAUGAAUCGUUAUUCAAAUCUCACCUCGACGAUUGCCUUAUAUCUUUAUGACGAAUCCCAUUUAUUCCAAGAUAAAUGAGGACCAUGAGCGCAUUUAAAAACGGAUAGCUUUGGCAAACGUUAACGAGAGGAAAAACUCGAGUAUUGCCUUUUGGGACAUAAAUUUCAAGGAGGGAAUUUCUGUCGACCCAUUCAGAAAUUGACGCCGUUGUAAAUUGUCCACGACCCACAAAUGCUACAAGAUAGAAACUUUUUUGGACUCGCAAGGUUAUUACCAACAUUUGUCAAGACUUUUCACUACUAGCAACACCAAUGGAUCAAGAUUGAACCCAAAGCACGUGACUUACAUGUGGGAUGCAUAUUGUGAGGACAGUUUUCAAGAGUUGAAGAAACGGUUGAUUAUCGUCUCCUCAUUCUGACCCUACCAACGGGAGAGGUGCUAGGUGAUUUUUUAAAGCGAUGCCUCGCUUAAGGGACUUGGAUUGUGUUCUGAUGCAAGCAUUGAAAGUGAUUGCUUAUGCCUACGACCAACUAAAGCCUUAUGAGAAGAACUACCCAACUCACGUUUAGAACUUCAUGCAGUGAUUUUUGCCCUCAAAAUCUGGCGUCAUUUUUGUAUGGAGAGCCAAUGUGAGAUUUACAGACAUACCAUACAAAGCCUUCAGUCAUUUUUACCCAAAGGAGCUCAACAUGCACAACGACGUGUUUGGAACUUAUGAGGACUACGCAUCUUACAUUCUUUACCACCCUGGUAAAGCUAAUGUUGUAGCAGAUGCCUCAGUCGGAAGUCUUCCGGCAAUUUGGCGUACAUGAUCACGAGCCAACCAACACUACUAGACUGAUUUGAGACACUUGAUGUAGAGAUCGUGUCUCACAAGGAGGAUGCUAUAUUAUUCGCUUUCCGUGGAGCCACUAUUAUUGAGACGCAUCACGGUGCACAAAUGGAUAUAAUCGUUUUGAGAAAACUCCUUGACGAAUUUGAGCAAGGGACAAGCCAGUUUUUCUUUUGUUGACUGCGUUUUGAGAUUGAAGGACAUCUUGUGUGUACCACGUUCGGCCGACAUCAAAAAACAAAAUUUUAGAGCAGCCACAGUGUCAAAAUUUGCUAUUCACCCAGGAUGCACCAAGAUUUACCACGUUUGAGAAAAAAUGUUGGUGGCCAAGCUGAAGAAAGACGUUGCAAGGUAUGUAGCACGUUGCAUUCACUGUCAAAGAGUGAAAUCGUAACACCAAACUGCCAGGAGGACUGCUGACUUCUCUCUUUCCAUUCCAGAAUGGAAAUAGGAACACAUUAGAUGGAUUUUGUCGUAGGGCGAAAACCCUUCGAAUAGAGGGAACGAUACCAUUUGGGUACUUGUGACCGUCUUACCAGUCGUCGCAUUUCCUUAGCUAUGAAAAUUACGCACAAUAUGGAUACACUUGCCAACCUUUACAUAAAGAAAUCAUUUGCCUUCAUGGAACACCUAUGUCUACAUCGUAUCAGAUCUCGGACCCUGAGAUUUGUUUCAUCCAAUUUUGGAAAAUUUUGCAAGCGGCUAUGGGAACUCAAUUGAAUUUUAGACUCUGCUUUUUCCACCCUCAAACCGAUGGGACAAUCAAGGAGAGUGUUCAUAUACUAGAAGAUUAUUACGGUUUGCACGUUAGACUUCAAAGGAGGUUGGGAAUAGCAUUUACCAUUGGUAGAAUUUGGCUUAACACACAGUUAUCCCGCGAGAGCAUUCAGAUGGCCCCAUUUGGAAGCAUUUUAUGGAAGAAAAUGUCGAUCCCCCCCUAUUUGUUUGACUGAGUUGGUGAUGGAAGACUCCUAGGUCCUCAAAUUGUACAAGAAACCACAGAAAGCUUGUUUGAUACAACAACGAAUUCGUACCGCACGAGUCGUCAAAAGAGCUAAUGUCCGACCAGCGUUGAAUAUUUAUAAUUCUCGCAAGGAGACACUUUUUUGAAGGUAUCCCCAUCAGGGGUAUCAUUCGUUUUUGGAUGAAAGGGAAACUAAAUCACUUUUUAUUUGACUCUUUGAAAUUCUAGAGAAGGUAGGCCCAUUUUCCUAUCGCCUUGCCCUGCAACCGGAUUGGCAAUGUUCAUAAUGGUUUUUCACAUUUCGAUGUUGAAGAAUAUGUCUUCGACCCAAGCCUGUUAUGAAUACGAACCCUUAGAAUACAGAAGAUUUGUCUAUGUCGAACAAGCCUGUUCAAAUUUUAGACCGACGCGAUCACAUUCUUCGAACAGGUUCAUUCCGCAUGUGAGGGUCCUAUGUCGGAACCACACAACGAAGAGUUCGACAUGGGAGAGAGAAGCCGAACUACGAGAUCGCUAUGCUUUUCUCUUGAAAUGUAAAGUAAAUUCUAAAGUUUGAGGACAGACUUUUUGUAAGGAGGGAAGAAUGUUAAAAUCCCAAAACUUUUAGAUAUUUCCAUUUCUCAAGUAAAAUGAUAUCAUGAAAUAUAACAAUAUAUGUGAAAAUUAAAUUUUUAUACGAAUUAAAUUAUUUUGGUGUUCCAAUUAAA
rnacentral:lncRNA from 1 species